rnacentral:rRNA from 1 species
AAUAUUGGACUAUGGGGGCAACCCUGACCCAGCCAUGCCGCGUGUGUGGAGAAGGUCUUCGGAUUGUAGAGCACUCUAAGUUGGGAGGAAGGGCUUUAGUUUAAUACUCUGAAGUUUUGACGUUACCAACAGAAUAAGCACCGGAUAAACCUGUGCCAGCAGCCGCGGUAAUACAGAGGGUGCAAGCGUUAAUCGGAAUUACUGGGCGUAAAGCGCGCGUAGGUGGUUCAGUAAGAUGGGUGUGAAAUCCCCGGGCUUAACCUGGGAACUGCUUUCAUAACUGCUGAGCUAGAGUACGGUAGAGGGUAGUGGAAUUUCCUGUGUAGCGGUGAAACGCGUAGAUAUAGGAAGGAACACCAGUGGCGAAGGCGAUUACCUGGACUGAUACUGACACUGAGGUGCGAAAGCGUGGGGAGCAAAC